rnacentral:rRNA from 1 species
AAUCUGGGGCCCUCGGCCUCCGAGUUGUAAUUUGGAGGGGCACCUUCGGGGGGGAGCGCCGGCCCAUGUUCCUUGGAACAGGACGUCACAGAGGGUGAGAAUCCCGUGCCCGGCCGGCCGACUCCUCCCGUGUGAAGGACCUUCGACGAGUCGAGUUGUUUGGGAAUGCAGCUCCAAGUGGGUGGUAAAUUUCAUGCUAAAUACCGGCGGGAGACCGAUAGCGCACAAGUAGAGUGAUCGAAAGAUGAAAAGCACUUUGAAAAUAGAGUCAAAAAGUACGUGAAAUUGUUGAAAGGGAAGCGCUUGAGACCAGACUCGGACCCGGGCAAACACCGCGCCCCCAGGGGCCGUGCAAUUGCCCGGGGAUGGGCCAGCAUCAGUUGGCGUGGCGGGACAAAGGCGUGGGAAAUGUGGCUCCCCCCGGGGAGUGUUAUUAGCCCCGCGCUCAAUGCCGCCGACGCCGACUGAGGACCGCGCCUCGGCUAGGAUGCUGGCUUAAUGGCCUUCAGCGACCCGUCUUGAAACACGGA